rnacentral:rRNA from 1 species
AAUCAACGCUGGCGGCGUGCCUCAGACAUGCAAGUCGAACGCGAAAGUUUCCUUCGGGGAGCGAGUAGAGUGGCGCACGGGUGAGUAACACGUAGGUAAUCUACCUUCGGAUGGGGAAUAACAAUCGGAAACGGUUGCUAAUACCGCAUAAUGCAGCGGCACCUAAUGGUGACAGUUGUUAAAGCGGAGGAUCGUAAGACCUCGCGUCUGAAGAGGAGCCUGCGGCGGAUAGCUUGUUGGUAAGGUAAUGGCUUACCAAGGCGACGAUCCGUAACCGGCCUGAGAGGGCGGGUCGGUCACACUGACACUGACAUACGGGUCAGACUCCGUACGGGAGGCAGCAGUCGGG